rnacentral:rRNA from 1 species
UGGGGAAUAUUGGACAAUGGACGAAAGUCUGAUCCAGCAACGCCGCGUGGAUGAUGAAGGCCUUAGGGUUGUAAAGUCCUUUUGUUAGGGAAGAUAAUGACGGUACCUAAAGAAUAAGCACCGGCUAACUUCGUGCCAGCAGCCGCGGUAAUACGAAGGGUGCUAGCGUUACUCGGAUUUAUUGGGCGUAAAGCAUGCGUAGGCGGGCUUGUAAGUUGGUAGUGAAAUCCCUGGGCUCAACCUAGGAAUUGCUAUCAAUACUGCAGGCCUUGAAUUCGGUAGUGAGUAGGGGAAUUCCUGGUGUAGGGGUAAAAUCCGUAGAUAUCAGGAGGAAGACCGGAAGCGAAAGCGCUUACUUGGGCCGAUAUUGACGCUGAGGCAUGAAAGCGUGGGGAGCAAACAGG